ACGCUGGCGGCGUGCUUAACACAUGCAAGUCGAACGAGAAUCUACUGAAAGAGUUUUCGGACAAUGGAUGUAGAGGAAAGUGGCGGACGGGUGAGUAACGCGUGAGGAACCUGCCUUGAAGAGGGGGACAACAGUUGGAAACGACUGCUAAUACCGCAUGAAGCAUAGGGGUCGCAUGAUUCUUAUGCCAAAGAUUUAUCGCUUCAAGAUGGCCUCGCGUCUGAUUAGCUAGUUGGCGGGGUAACGGCCCACCAAGGCGACGAUCAGUAGCCGGACUGAGAGGUUGAACGGCCACAUUGGGACUGAGAUACGGCCCAGACUCCUACGGGAGGCAGCAGUGGGGAAUAUUGGGCAAUGGGCGCAAGCCUGACCCAGCAACGCCGCGUGAAGGAAGAAGGCUUUCGGGUUGUAAACUUCUUUUAAGAGGGAAGAGCAGAAGACGGUACCUCUAGAAUAAGCCACGGCUAACUACGUG
rnacentral:rRNA from 1 species